ensembl:snoRNA small nucleolar RNA, H/ACA box 41
UUCCACAGCUACUGGUCUGCAGCUGUUUUUAUGGUAGCAGUUGUGGCAUUCCUCUGUGGGAAAGAAAGUGUUACCCAAUGUGACAUCCCUCUUUCCCAGCAAAAUGGAAAGUUGGGCAUAUGUGUGUGACAGACACAG